rnacentral:rRNA from 1 species
CGGUGUUUAACUGGCGUGAUGUGGGACGUCCUACCGGUGGGCUUAGCCUCGCGAGGGGCGGCCCAACUAAUAUCCCGUCGCGGUGCUCUUUACUGAGUGUCGAGUCGGGCCGGUACGUUUACUUUGAACAAAUUAGAGUGCUUAAAGCAGGCUAUCCUCGCCUGAAUACUGCGUGCAUGGAAUAAUGGAAUAGGACCUCGGUUCUAUUUUGUUGGUUUUCGGAACCCCGAGGUAAUGAUUAAUAGGGACAGAUGGGGGCAUUCGUAUUGCGACGUUAGAGGUGAAAUUCUUGGAUCGUCGCAAGACGGACAGAAGCGAAAGCAUUUGCCAAAAAUGUUUUCAUUAAUCAAGAACGAAAGUUAGAGGUUCGAAGGCGAUCAGAUACCGCCCUAGUUCUAACCAUAAACGAUGCCAGCUAGCGAUCCGCCGAAGUUCCUCCGAUGACUCGGCGGGCAGCUUCCGGGAAACCAAAGCUUUUGGGUUCCGGGGGAAGUAUGGUUGCAAAGCUGAAACUUAAAGGAAUUGACGGAAGGGCACCACCAGGAGUGGAGCCUGCGGCUUAAUUUGACUCAACACGGGAAACCUCACCAGGCCCAGACACCGGAAGGAUUGACAGAUUGAUAGCUCUUUCUUGAUUCGGUGGGUGGUGGUGCAUGGCCGUUCUUAGUUGGUGGAGCGAUUUGUCUGGUUAAUUCCGAUAACGAACGAGACUCUACCCUGCUAAAUAGGCGUACCUUAUGGUAUCGCGAAGGCCCCCGGCUUCGGCCGGUGGGUUUUUACUACCAACGUACAAACAAAUCUUCUUAGAGGGCACAGGCGG